UUGUCGAAUUCCUGCAAAAGCAGACCGCGAACACGUUAAACCACAUGUGGGACCGCGGGGGAGACCUCUUGCCCGCGCCCAACCCUCGCACGGCGCGCGCCUAGGCGCGCGUGGUGCGGGCUAACGAACCCCGGCGCGGCAUGUGCCAAGGAAAACUCAUAGAAGCGUCAGCCUCCCUAUCGCCCCGUUCGCGGUGUGCGGAGGGUGAACUGAUGUCUCUCCAAUGUCAUAACGACUCUCGGCAACGGAUAUCUCGGCUCUCGCAUCGAUGAAGAACGUAGCGAAAUGCGAUACUUGGUGUGAAUUGCAGAAUCCCGUGAACCAUCGAGUCUUUGAACGCAAGUUGCGCCCGAAGCCAUUCGGCCGAGGGCACGUCUGCCUGGGCGUCACGCAUCGCGUCGCCUCCCGCGCCCACACCCCAAGGGGUGAUCGGGUCGCGGAGGCGGAAAUUGGCCCCCCGUGCGUUCACCCGCGCGGCCGGCCUAAAUGCGAACCCGUGCCAACUCUUGUCACGACCAGUGGUGGUUGAAAACUCAACUCUCGUGCUGUUUGUCGUGCCGUUUGAGUUGGCUGUCGGGCUUCGUCGCAGACCCAAUGGCGCGAUUCUAUUGUGCCUUCGACCGCGACCCCA
rnacentral:rRNA from 1 species